UGCUAUACACCUGCAUCAUCAUCAUCUUUCAGCCGAAAGACUGCUGAACAUAGGCUUCCCUGUAUUUCUCAAAUCGUUUAGAGUUCCAUUGUACCCCAGGAAAUGUGUUACGAAACCCAACAACAUGAUAUUAAUGUGGGAUAUUUACAAAAUACACUUUUAGUGCCACUUGAACCAUCAUAAAUUGAAUAGCUGAUCACUUGAUUUAAAAUGGUUAUCAAUAAUUUUCAUUUCCCAGAGCGGUAUGAGUACCGUCCCAAAGCCGGCUGGCUGCAACGGAGGUCAGCCUCCCGGCCCUCCUCCUAGUGGCAUGCCUCCCGGCCCCCCACCAACCAACGCGACUGGAUAAAGCAGAUUAAAACCUGACUCCUGACUUUGGCUAACGGUCUAAAAUUACACUAAUAAAUAUUUGCACUCUCACAUA